rnacentral:rRNA from 1 species
CAGCAGCCGCGGUAAUACGUAGGGUGCAAGCGUUAAUCGGAAUUACUGGGCGUAAAGCGUGCGCAGGCGGUUCGUUAAGACAGAUGUGAAAUCCCCGGGCUUAACCUGGGAACUGCAUUUGCGACUGGCGGGCUAGAGUAUGGCAAAGGGGGGUAGAAUUCCACGUGUAGCAGUGAAAUGCGUAGAGAUGUGGAGGAAUACCGAUGGCGAAGGCAGCCCCCUGGGCCAAUACUGACGCUCAUGCACGAAAGCGUGGGGAGCAAACAGGAUUAGAUACCCCGGUAGUCCCUGUCUCUUAUAC